rnacentral:rRNA from 1 species
CCUACGGGGGGCAGCAGUAGGGAAUAUUGCGCAAUGGGGGAAAGCCUGACGCAGCAACGCCGCGUGGGGGAUGAAGGUUUUCGGAUUGUAAAACUCUGUUGUUAGAGAAGAAAAUGCAGGUAUCUAACUAAUAACCACCUGCUAACUCCGUGCCAGAAGCCGCGGUAUGACGGAGGGGGAAAGCGUUAGUCGGAAUCACUGUGCGUAAAGAGAGCGUAGGCGGGAUAGCAAGUCUGAUGUGAAAUCCUAUGGCUCAACCGUAGAACGUCAUUGGAAACUGGACUUCUAGAGUGUGGGAGAGGAAAGUGGAAUUCCAUGUGUAGCGGUAAAAUCCGCAGAGAUCUGGAGGAAUACUCAUGGCGAAGGCGACCUUCUGGAACAUAACUGACGCUGAUGUGCGAAAGCGUGGGGAGCAAACAGGAUUAGAUACCCGAGUAGUC